rnacentral:rRNA from 1 species
GAUGAACGCUGGCGGCGUGCCUAAUACAUGCAAGUCGAGCGAACGGACAAGAAGCUUGCUUCUCUGAUGUUAGCGGCGGACGGGUGAGUAACACGUGGAUAACCUACCUAUAAGACUGGGAUAACUUCGGGAAACCGGAGCUAAUGCCGGAUAAUAUUUUGAACCGCAUGGUUCAAAAGUGAAAGACGGUCUUGCUGUCACUUAUAGAUGGAUCCGCGCUGCAUUAGCUAGUUGGUAAGGUAACGGCUUACCAAGGCAACGAUGCAUAGCCGACCUGAGAGGGUGAUCGGCCACACUGGAACUGAGACACGGUCCAGACUCCUACGGGAGGCAGCAGUAGGGAAUCUUCCGCAAUGGGCGAAAGCCUGACGGAGCAACGCCGCGUGAGUGAUGAAGGUCUUCGGAUCGUAAAACUCUGUUAUUAGGGAAGAACAUAUGUGUAAGUAACUGUGCACAUCUUGACGGUACCUAAUCAGAAAGCCACGGCUAACUACGUG